UUGAAUAUGGCAUAAAGCAAAACAAGUAAGGACUUCAAUGCAAUAUGAUAAGAAAAAUCACGUGAGCAAUAUUAAAGAGGAUUACUUUUAAUGCUAAGGAAUAGUUGGAAAUUCUUGCCAUUAAUUCAUGACACUUAUUUUGGAGAAUUUGCUUUCAAAAGGGAAAUGAAGAUUAAUGAUUUGUUUGGGAUCCAUUUUGCCAAAAAAAGGUGGGUGGAGUAAUAAUUGAUUCAACGAACAGGAUUAUUCAGGUGGACACGCAAUUGAUUUUUCUUUUGUAAUAUUUAAAAAUCUCUUCUACUUGGUCCAUAUGGACUUCACCGUGUUAUAUUUGGACAUGAUUUUUACUUUAUUUGCUUAUUGUUGUAUGUUCUUCGUAAGAUGAAUGUGACAGUUCACAGUUGAAAGACUUUAGUACGUAACGAAAUGUUCAGGGGACUGGUUAUUAAUUAGCAAGUGUAUCUUCCUUGUCA